rnacentral:rRNA from 1 species
GUUCAUGCCCGAAAGGGUAGACCUCCCACCCUUGUGUAUUAUUACUUUGUUGCUUUGGCGAGCUGCCUUUGGGCCUUGUAUGCUCGCCAGAGAAUACCAAAACUCUUUUUAUUAAUGUCGUCUGAGUACUAUAUAAUAGUUAAAACUUUCAACAACGGAUCUCUUGGUUCUGGCAUCGAUGAAGAACGCAGCGAAAUGCGAUAAGUAAUGUGAAUUGCAGAAUUCAGUGAAUCAUCGAAUCUUUGAACGCACAUUGCGCCCCUUGGUAUUCCGGGGGGCAUGCCUGUUCGAGCGUCAUUUCAACCCUCAAGCUUAGCUUGGUAUUGAGUCUAUGUCAGUAAUGGCAGGCUCUAAAAUCAGUGGCGGCGCCGCUGGGUCCUGAACGUAGUAAUAUCUCUCGUUACAGGUUCUCGGUGUGCUUCUGCCAAAACCCAAAUUUUUCUAUGGUUGACCUCGGAUCAGGUAGGGAUACCCGCUGAACUUAAGCAUAUCAAU